GGACGAGGUCCGUCACUCAGGGGAUUGCCAUAACGACGAGUGACGGACCUCGUCCGUCACCCGUUAAAAUUAACCCCAGAUCACCGCUAUCGCAGCGAUCGUGGGGUUAAUGCUGCUCCGGUCUGCCUCUGUAUUAGAGGGAGACCGAGAGCGCCCGAAAGUGCUGCCCCAGGUAACACAGCAUGUCAGAGCGAGCACAUGUGCUUAGUAUACUUACCUUCCACCUCUCUGCACUUCCUGGUUCUGUGUGAAGUGCAGGGAGCCGGAACAGUGCUGAUCCUGCCCUCUGUUAAAAAAUAAAAAAUAAAGUUUAUUUAAAUUUCCAACCCCCUUUACUCAUUUUAAUUAAAAAUUAACCCCUUCCCUGCCAAUUGAUCACGG